GUACACAAAAAUGCACAUAUUGUGAGCUCGAUGAGUAGGGCGGGACACGUGGUAUCCUGUCUGAAUAUGGGGGGACCAUCCUCCAAGGCUAAAUACUCCUGACUGACCGAUAGUGAACCAGUACCGUGAGGGAAAGGCGAAAAGAACCCCGGCGAGGGGAGUGAAAAAGAACCUGAAACCGUGUACGUACAAGCAGUGGGAGCCUCUUUAUGGGGUGACUGCGUACCUUUUGUAUAAUGGGUCAGCGACUUAUAUUCUGUAGCAAGGUUAACCGAAUAGGGGAGCCGAAGGGAAACCGAGUCUUAACUGGGCGUUAAGUUGCAGGGUAUAGACCCGAAACCCGGUGAUCUAGCCAUGGGCAGGUUGAAGGUUGGGUAACACUAACUGGAGGACCGAACCGACUAAUGUUGAAAAAUUAGCGGAUGACUUGUGGCUGGGGGUGAAAGGCCAAUCAAACCGGGAGAUAGCUGGUUCUCCCCGAAAGCUAUUUAGGUAGCGCCUCGUGAAUUCAUCUCCGGGGGUAGAGCACUGUUUCGGCAAGGGGGUCAUCCCGACUUACCAACCCGAUGCAAACUGCGAAUACCGGAGAAUGUUAUCACGGGAGACACACGGCGGGUGCUAACGUCCGUCGUGAAGAGGGAAACAACCCAGACCGCCAGCUAAGGUCCCAAAGUCAUGGUUAAGUGGGAAACGAUGUGGGAAGGCCCAGACAGCCAGGAUGUUGGCUUAGAAGCAGCCAUCAUUUAAAGAAAGCGUAAUAGCUCACUGGUCGAGUCGGCCUGCGCGGAAGAUGUAACGGGGCUAAACCAUGCACCGAAGCUGCGGCAGCGACACUAUGUGUUGUUGGGUAGGGGAGCGUUCUGUAAGCCUGUGAAGGUGGCCUGUGAGGGUUGCUGGAGGUAUCAGAAGUGCGAAUGCUGACAUAAGUAACGAUAAAGCGGGUGAAAAGCCCGCUCGCCGGAAGACCAAGGGUUCCUGUCCAACGUUAAUCGGGGCAGGGUGAGUCGACCCCUAAGGCGAGGCCGAAAGGCGUAGUCGAUGGGAAACAGGUUAAUAUUCCUGUACUUGGUGUUACUGCGAAGGGGGGACGGAGAAGGCUAUGUUGGCCGGGCGACGGUUGUCCCGGUUUAAGCGUGUAGGCUGGUUUUCCAGGCAAAUCCGGAAAACCAAGGCUGAGGCGUGAUGACGAGGCACUACGGUGCUGAAGCGACAAAUGCCCUGCUUCCAGGAAAAGCCUCUAAGCAUCAGGUAACAUCAAAUCGUACCCCAAACCGACACAGGUGGUCAGGUAGAGAAUACCAAGGCGCUUGAGAGAACUCGGGUGAAGGAACUAGGCAAAAUGGUGCCGUAACUUCGGGAGAAGGCACGCUGAUAUGUAGGUGAAGCGACUUGCUCGUGGAGCUGAAA
rnacentral:rRNA from 1 species